UUAAGUCAAUAGGUCUUCCACUGUAGUAGAGCUGCUAAGGCCUUUCUGAUGUUGAUUUGUCUCGGCUGGACAUAGUGGUCAAGUUGCAUCGGGGGGCUGGACCUCUCUAUAGACAUGAGAUGUUGUAGGGUAAAGGUGGGGUUGGGCACCAAUAACUGUUAGGUGAGGACCCAAUGACGACUUUAUUCCUACGGUUAUAAGGUGGGUCUGACUUAACUAAGCGAUGGGACCAAUAACUGUUAGGUGAGGUCUUCAUGGCUUAGAGACCAAGUUACACUGCACCAUGCUUGAGAAGCAUUGUACAAGAGUUGUACACUCAUCCAUCUAUGUGUCACCAAUAACUAUUAGGUGAGGUGGCAUGUAAAUCGGUGGGACCGCAGUACCCACUAGAAACCCUAGUCGUGUGGGAUUUUCGUUUUCCUACCAGGGGAGUGUGAGGGAUUCGAGAAAAUAGUGGGAGUUACAUUUGUUCUAAAAGACCUUAGAACAGAUUAGGAUCAAGUACAAAAGUCUAACUAGAAUCUUUACUCUCUGCAGAUACAAUGUCAGCUUCAAACCCUUUGACC
rnacentral:lncRNA from 1 species